rnacentral:misc_RNA from 1 species
AGCCUUGUUGUAUUAACGAUUAAACAACCAAACAACGUAUAAAAGGCUGUAAACUAGCCAAAGUGGGUGAAGAACUUUCCUUUUGCAGUGGAAUUUGCACUUUGAUAAAUGGAAUACAUGCUCCAAGAAAAUUGAAUUUGUGAGUUUACGCAAAAUCGCUUUCAUCCCCUCUAAAAUGUUAGUUUUAGUCUGAUGGUGGGGGGCAAAUCAUGUAUUGUUUGUAGGUGAAUAUAAAAGUCCCAGGAUUUUGUUAACUGUUACAAAAUUAAGGUUUUUAGGCUCAUAAAUUAGGGUACUUGUAGGAGAAAGGCUAAGUAGAUUUGAGGAAAAUUCAGGAUUCAUUUAUAUUGAUUUGCAGUAAAAUAAUAGGUUCUUCAUUGGUUUUAUGUAAACCAGCAGAUCAGAAUGAAUUUGAGAGCUUAGGAGAAUGAGAGUGACUAAGAGAUACAGAAGAAAUCCAGUUAAAUAGGAAAAGGGAGAAUAGUAGGUGAUAUUGACUUUCAAAAUGAAAUGUAAGUAUACAUGUGCCACUAAAGGUAAAGAUUCAAUCCUUGAUUAUAGACUAAACCCUAAUAAAAUUUCUAACUAUUCAUCAAGAAACUUAGAAAGUUG